GACAGAGGUGCCGAGCGUUAGGCGGAAUCACUGGGCUUAAAGCGUGUGUAGGCGGAUUUGUAAGUACCUUGUGAAAUCCCACGGCUCAACCGUGGAACUGCUUGGUAUACUGCUUAUCUUGGGCCACUUAGGGGUUACCGGAACAAACGGUGGAGCGGUGAAAUGCGUAGAUAUCGUUUGGAACGCCAAUGGUGAAAACAGGUAACUGGGAGUGUGCCGACGCUGAGACACGAAAGCCAGGGGAGCGAACGGG
rnacentral:rRNA from 1 species